rnacentral:rRNA from 1 species
UACGUAGGGGCCUAGCGUUGUCCGGAAUUAUUGGGCGUAAAGAGCUCGUAGGCGGUUCGGCAAGUCGGAUGUGAAAUCUCCACGCUCAACGUGGAGGGGCCAUUCGAAACUGCCGUGACUCGAGUCCGGUAGGGGAGUGUGGAAUUCCCGGUGUAGCGGUGAAAUGCGCAGAUAUCGGGAAGAACACCCGUGGCGAAGGCGGCUCUCUGGGACGGUACUGACGCUGAGACGCGAAAGCGUGGGGAGCGAACAGG